CGACCCCAGGUCAGGUGGGAAUA
rnacentral:rRNA from 1 species